AGUGAACGCUGGCGGUAGGCCUAACACAUGCAAGUCGAACGGCAGCACAGGAGAGCUUGCUCUCUGGGUGGCGAGUGGCGGACGGGUGAGGAAUACAUCGGAAUCUACUUUUUCGUGGGGGAUAACGUAGGGAAACUUACGCUAAUACCGCAUACGACCUACGGGUGAAAGCAGGGGACCUUCGGUCCUUGCGCGAUUGAAUGAGCCGAUGUCGGAUUAGCUAGUUGGCGGUGUAAAGGCCCACCAAGGCGACGAUCCGUAGCUGGUCUGAUAGGAUGAACCACCACACUUGAACAGUGACACGCGCCAGACUCCUACGGGAGGCAGCAGUGGGGAAUAUUGGACAAUGGGCGCAAGCCUGAUCCAGCCAGACCGCGUGGGUGAAUAAGGCCUUCGGGUUGUAAAGCUCUUUUGUUGGGAAAGAAAUCCAGCUGGCUAAUACCCGGUUGGGAUGACGGUACCCAAAGAAUAAGCACCGGCUAACUUCGUGCCAGCAGCCGCCGUAA
rnacentral:rRNA from 1 species